UACGUAGGGGGCUAGCGUUGCUCGGAAUCACUGGGCGUAAAGGGUGCGUAGGCGGGUUUUUAAGUCAGGGGUGAAAUCCUGGAGCUCAACUCCAGAACUGCCUUUGAUACUGAAGAUCUUGAAUCCGGGAGAGGGAUGCGGAAUUCCAGGUGUAGCGGUGAAAUGCGUAGAUAUCUGGAGGAACACCGGUGGCGAAGGCGGCAUCCUGGACCGGCAUUGACGCUGAGGCGCGAAAGCCAGGGGAGCAAACGGG
rnacentral:rRNA from 1 species